rnacentral:rRNA from 1 species
GACGAACGCUGGCGGCGUGCUUAACACAUGCAAGUCGAACGGAAAGGCCCUGCUUUUGUGGGGUGCUCGAGUGGCGAACGGGUGAGUAACACGUGAGUAACCUGCCCUUGACUUUGGGAUAACUUCAGGAAACUGGGGCUAAUACCGGAUAGGAGCUCCUGCUGCAUGGUGGGGGUUGGAAAGUUUCGGCGGUUGGGGAUGGACUCGCGGCUUAUCAGCUUGUUGGUGGGGUAGUGGCUUACCAAGGCUUUGACGGGUAGGCGGCCUGAGAGGGUGACCGGCCACAUUGGGACUGAGAUACGGCCCAGACUCCUACGGGAGACAGCAGUGGGGAGUAUUGCACAAUGGGCGGAAGCCUGAUGCAGCAACGCCGCGUGCGGGAUGACGGCCUUCGGGUUGUAAACCGCUUUCGCCUGUGACGAAGCGUGAGUGACGGUAAUGGGUAAAGAAGCACCGGCUAACUACGUG